GUGUACGUACAAGCAGUGGGAGCACAGGUUUACCUGUGUGACUGCGUACCUUUUGUAUAAUGGGUCAGCGACUUAUAUUCUGUAGCAAGGUUAACCGUAUAGGGGAGCCGUAGGGAAACCGAGUCUUAACCGGGCGUUAAGUUGCAGGGUAUAGACCCGAAACCCGGUGAUCUAGCCAUGGGCAGGUUGAAGGUUGGGUAACACUAACUGGAGGACCGAACCGACUAAUGUUGAAAAAUUAGCGGAUGACCUGUGGCUGGGGGUGAAAGGCCAAUCAAACCGGGAGAUAGCUGGUUCUCCCCGAAAGCUAUUUAGGUAGCGCCUCGUGAAUUCAUCUCCGGGGGUAGAGCACUGUUUCGGCUAGGGGGCCAUCCCGGCUUACCAACCCGAUGCAAACUGCGAAUACCGGAGAAUGUUAUCACGGGAGACACACGGCGGGUGCUAACGUCCGUCGUGAAGAGGGAAACAACCCAGACCGCCAGCUAAGGUCCCAAAGUCAUGGUUAAGUGGGAAACGAUGUGGGAAGGCCCAGACAGCCAGGAUGUUGGCUUAGAAGCAGCCAUCAUUUAAAGAAAGCGUAAUAGCUCACUGGUCGAGUCGGCCUGCGCGGAAGAUGUAACGGGGCUAAACCAUGCACCGAAG
rnacentral:rRNA from 1 species